rnacentral:rRNA from 1 species
UACGUAGGGGGCAAGCGUUGUCCGGAAUUAUUGGGCGUAAAGAGCGCGUAGGCGGUCCGGUAAGUCGGUUGUGAAAGUCGGGGGCUCAACCCUCGGAUGCCGAUCGAUACUGUCGGGCUAGAGUCCGGAAGAGGCGAGUGGAAUUCCUGGUGUAGCGGUGAAAUGCGCAGAUAUCAGGAGGAACACCAAUGGCGAAGGCAGCUCGCUGGGACGGUACUGACGCUGAGACGCGAAAGCGUGGGGAGCAAACAGG